AAUAAUGAACAUUACUUAAUAAAAUAGUACAUUACUACAGAGGCCGGGACAAAAGGGGUUGCCGGCCGAAGACAUAUAGAUGGGCGAGCGAAGCGAGGCCGGAUAGGUCUGAGGCGGGCAAUCCCAUAUUUCCCGCCGAGGUAUGUAUAGUGCUUUUCUCAAACAUGCAAUGAAAUAAAUAAAAUAAAAAAUCCACGGAACCCAAGUUUUAUUUAUAGAAAAAGUAAAAGUAAACUACACCCAAAAUAUAACUAACACGUACCUAUAUCUUUAUCACGCGUAUGUUUUACACGAGUCGUGUAUUUUUACUACCCGUAUAUUUUCAUGUAAGUAUCUUUGAUUUUUUCGCCUUGUAUCCGUCUGACUGUCGUUUUCGUCACAUAAGUUUACAUUCUUUCAUGUUGAUAUCAUAUUUCACAUACAUCGUUGCUUUAUGCAUGGAGUAAAUAAGUAUAAUUUCCACAGUGUUGACGAUUUUGUAGUUACGUUCAUUU